AACUCUAAUCCAAACCUGGUACUGUCUUCCUUAAAAGAAAAAAUCAGGGACUUAGAAGAACACAAUAAAAGUGUCAAAUGCUUAAUUUGUUUGGAACCUUACACAAAGCCUGUUGUAUCAACAGCCUGCUGGCAUGUUUACUGUGAAGAAUGUUGGUUGAUGACGAUGGGAGUUAAAAAGUUAUGCCCACAAUGCAACAUGAUAGUUUCUCCAUCUGAUUUGAGGAGGAUAUACUUGUAAAUACUCUUUCAGUGACCUGUAUAUUUCUCUGGAUAUAUUCCUUAAUUUUUUCCACUUGUCUAAAAUAAGAGAUUUCAACAAAGCUGGGUAAAAUGCUAAGAUUUUGACAAAAAAGUGAGUUGCAGGCAGUGAAGAAGUUUUGGUGUUAAUGUAGCAGGUGAUCUACAUUAGUCUGUUCAUUGCUGGCAGUAUUGGAAUCAAUUUUUACUUUUUACUAAUCAAGUUGGUAUCAUUUUAUAAUUAUCAAGACACAUUAAUGUUACAAAGGCUGUAAACAAGCAUUUGUAUCUAUAGUAAUGCAUCAAGAGAUUCCUGUUUAAUUUUCAGCUGUAACCAAGUCUUUCAAUAUUAUUUCUUCGUAUAUACAAUUCUGGUAACUAUAAAAUACAUUAUCUGCUUGUUUUUAAGUAUAUUUAUAAACAAAACAUGCAUGUAGAUUUCUUCCCCUUUGUUUUGCUUAAAACGUAACAAUAAAAUUGUUACAUUGCAAAAUUUAACACAGCUUGACUAGACUUUACAAAUGGCAGUAUUAAGUUCAUUUUAUAAAUUCAUACACUUAUUUAGCAAGAUGUUCAGUUCUAAAUUUCAAGGAAGAGAAUCCCUCAUUGUUGUAAUAUCUGCCUUUCAACCUGUUUUCUUUUGUAAAUAAAUUAAUUUAAAUAUAUGUUCCUAAAAAUUCUAGUUAAAGUUAUCAUAGUUGAAUGAUAGUAUAUUUUUUUACAUGUGUUGUACAUAGAACUCUAUGCUGAUUUGUUUCUUAUGCGCAAAAUGUUUUGUUUCUGUUCUCUAGCUAUA